UGUGUAUUUGCACUUGAGUAAACUUUGUCAAUAUCUUAUCAGUCUGUCUACAGUAACGCAGGUUCAUAGUUGCAUCUGGUUUAAGUCUAAAUUUCAUGUGUAGACUCAAGCCUUACCUUAACAAAAGCAAACAUAGCAUCUAAUAAAAAAAUAGGGGAUAACACACACACACAGAUACACACACAACUAAAUAUGUAUAUAUACGAGCAACAUAAUCCCACAAAUAAAUCAUACUAAAACACAAGGAACAAUGUAUCUAAACUCAUAUUGUGCUAUUGAGUGGACCUUAAACAGUCUACACAAUAAAUAUGUAAUAAUAAUAAUAAAUAAUAAUUUAUUUAUCGACCAUCUCCAGAUGGCUCUUUUAGGCUGUGGGAAAAAAAUGCAUGCCUCUCUGGCUCACUGACAAAGAUCAUAUCAGGGGAAAGUGUUUCUGCUCCACACAAGAACUGUUUACUGGCGAGUAUAACUCUUCAAACAAGAGACCAUUUAACAUGAAUGUGAGUGAUGUGAAUCUGAUGAUAAUUUGUGAACAAUUAAAGACCAGGCUCGUCAAAAAUAACGCGAACAGAGAACAACAGCGCCACCGACUGGACGAAAGAUGAACGGCUGACUGUGACACUGGCGCCUUCUGCUGGUCACAUCCGCGAACAGCACAUCAACGCAACUGCGACUAUGAAAGGGGAAACAAAUCAGUUUAUAUCUUAUAUUUUAAACACAUUUUAUUUUAUUUCAUUAAAUUGAAUGAAACAGGUAUAUAUAAUUAUUUUAAAAUAUCGCGUUGAAUAAUAAUAAUAAAAAAAAAUCAAGUCAUGUGUAAUUUCUUUUUGGGACUGUAAGCCUCGAAUGACACCCUGACACUUUGACUGAAUCUGACCUCCUGUGGCAUGCAGCUCAUCUAAAUGUUAAACAUCAGUCGUCAAGACCAUAGCAGAGAAUGUCUAAUAUGGCGAGAAGUUUCACUCUCUACACUUCCGGCUUCUGAACUGGUUGCAGUUCCACUCUGAUUCCAUAUGAGGGCGCUCACAGGACGAAUGCAGAAUGAAUGGAGGUCAAUGGCGGUAUACCCCUCAAAAUCCACUUUUCUCAAGAUAUAAUUUUUUGUCUAGUAAUUUGAAUGUUGUAUUCGAAAGGAGAUGCAAAUAAAUUACACAUUGCUGGGUGUUAAA